CAUAGAAUCGUAUCGUUUCUACACUGUAUCGAAUCGUAUCGAAUCGUUCUGUAUUAAAAAUAUAUCGUUUUUGAAUCGUAUCGUAACCCGUGUAUCUAGAUACGUAUCGAAUCGUCUAUCACAGAGAGAUUCCCAACCCUACUGGUAACAAAUGCAGCAUGGAGGUCGUCCUGUACACUGGCUAGCAGGAUGCUAGUUCAGCAGGUGCCAAUUUUUCUCCAGCAUUUCAUCAAUGUCUACUGAUGUUUAUGUAACCCACAUGAAACAUAUGGUUACUAAACCCAUAUAUGUCAUUUAGAGGUGUAGUCUCAUGCCCCGCCAGAAGGUGGCAUGUCCCACUCUGAGCCUCACUGUCAAGACUAUUUAGAGCGCCUUCCUUGCCACUCCCUCUUUCUUUUAAUCUGAGACGUUUUCCCAAGAGCACGUUAUCCUGAGAGCAAACUGAAGAAACCCUUGGACUGAGUCCUGUGAAUCACACUGAACGGAGGAGCCUCUUUCAUCUAGUGAGCCCUCGCGCCGCGAGCUCCGAUUGGUUUUUUAUUCGUGGACUAGGAAUCGAUCAUUCUGAUCCUGAACCCUGGAAGGUUCAGUGGCAAGCCAGUACCAGAGAGCUUGACUGUGGACGGACCGGAGCACCGUGUGGCCAGCCGUGGGCGCCGCCCUCAGUGAACUUCAGACCACCGAUUUACUCCAUUCACUCGGAUUCAGAUAAGACACAACACACUACAAAAACCUACCCGGGUAGUUAUAGGAACUGUGUGCACACACGAGUCAAAGAGAACUCUGAUCUCCUUUCCUCAAAGGAGAAUAACAUAAGGAACUGAACUCUUGCUUUUAUUUAAAAAGAAGGGACACUUUUAUUUGCACUUUUAUUUUGGUUUAUUAUUUUGAAAGGGAUUUAUUUUUGUAUUUUAUUUUUGUACAUUGUAUUAAUAUUGCCAGAUAAUUGCUGUGAGGCAAUAAAAACUGUCACUGUUCAACUUAACGUCUACUCUCUUCUAAGUGAGUCAUUCAAAUAAUUUAAAGGUAUCCAGCUUUCCGAGCCUAGAGCGAAUGUUUGUGUCACUAGCAUUGUUGUUAUCCUUGAGUAAGACUAAGGGCGCUACGUUUACAUUUGAAAAUCUCAACCUGG